GGUCCUGUGUGGCUUAGUCGGUAGAGCAUGGCGCUUGAAAUACCAAGGGUCGUGGGUUCGAUUCCCGCUGGGACCA